GGGGAGGGGGCCGCGUGGUUGUGCUUCCCCCCCACCUCCAAAACCAGGGAAAGGCUUUUCUCGUCCACCAUGUUUUUGCGUUACGCAAUCAGAAAGGACGGGCGUUUCGCCUGAGAAGAUUAACACCCGGCAGGAUUUUGGGUCCUAGCCCCCGCGGGGUUUCGCUCUCCUUCCCGCCUAGCCCGCCUUAAUCCCGGUGACAGACACAUCCUUGGCUCCAGGCAGCUGACUGCUUCUUCUAAAUAGUUUGGUGUUCCUGAAAACCAUGCCCACAGGAGACACCUAAGAAACGCUUCUAGGGGGUCCCGUGCUGCGACCAAGGUUCCUCUUGACAACUCUAUAUAUGAGGGUCUUUUAAGUUUUAACCCAAAUGGCACAUGGACAAUCUGUGGGAAGGUGCGAUCUCGGCCUAAGAGACUUAGAGCAAAGCAAGUCAACGGUCAAAGAGAGGACGAGUUUAGUCUCAGGCCAGGCAGGACAGGUUAAGGCUGUAAACGUUUGAGUGUGAAUGUGGGGGGGGGGGUGCGAGCGAUGGUCACCCCUUCAAGGUGCACUUCGAAGAUUUCUUUGUACUGAAGACACCGGGAAGCCCAUGAGGAGCCGAGUGAGACUGGUUCAUUCCACAGCUUCAAUUCAUCCUCAAACCUACUUAAAUGUCUUUAGCGCGCUACUGAUUUUAAUCCAAAAUAUUCCUCAGAGAGAAGAGUGGGGGGAACAGUGUGAUUAUUAUUACAGACAGGAAAAACAAAAGAGGUUGCAGAAGUCAUAAAGGUUUACUUUGAAUUUACUGGAACUAGGCAUGAGAUCAGAGGGACCCUGAAGAGGAUUUUUGUCACAGUUUACAAUGAGAGAAAAGAUGAAGCAGCAGGAGGAAAUGGAAGUACCGGCAUCCCAGAGGAAAGCAACACGAGGCACACGUGACCAUGUAUUAAUCCAUCAGAAUGAAGAGAGGAAAAUUCCAUGCAAGGCCUGCCUGAAAAUGAAAGAGAAAUUGGGAAAUGGCAUUCUCUUGGGGCAGAAGGAGCACAUUAACUAAAAACUAGUUUAUAGUCGACGUUCGAAUAUCCCUAAUGAUACUGCAGAGUGUCACUAACGUGGGAUAAUCAUAACCAUUUUGCCUUCGUGAAAACCAAGAACAACAAGCCACAGAGACAUAUUGGUGUUGUGUCUAAUAAGUGUUCAAUGGCUUUGUCCCAGCAACUCUGACUAAAGCUUUGUGAAUGGCUUCUUCUCCUGUUUAUGUCCUAUCUGGUGUCUUUAGAAAAUCGACCACCUUCUCCUUACGACCAUCAUUGCUUCUCAGAACAAGGCUUUCAGACAAAGAUUGCAUUCUUGAGACUUUGUUUAAAUUACUUCACUGGGAACUGUGGAAACCAAAAGAAACCUUAUCUGGUUCUAAGUAAACAUGGUAACCUUACAUCAGAAACCUUACCCAUUCCUUCUCUGUAUUUGAGAGUGCCUGUGUUUGUUUGUGCAUGGAGGCCAGGGUGCAAGCAGCAUCUUUUUUCUUUUUAACGUGUGUUCAAGUGUGUGUGGUGUGCCUGUAUUUGCAGUGCAGGUCAGAGGACAGCUUUCCGGGGGUGGGUUCUCCCCUAUCAUGUGCGUCCUGGAGAGUCAAACUCAGGGCAUUAAAUUUAGCAGCAAGCACCUUUUCCUGCUGAGCCAUCUCACCUGCCCCCAUACACCUCUCAAUGAGACAGAUUCUCUCACUGCCCUAGGCUUUGCCCAGGCUAGGCUAGCUGGCCAGCAAGCCCCCAGAGAUUCUCCUGUCUCUGCCCCAUGUCCACCUUCUUUUACAUGGGCUCAGACUCAGUUUCUCAUGCUUUCAGGGCAUGAACUGUAUGGUCAUCCCCUUUAGCUCAUUUUUGAAAAUAGUUCCAAAUGCUGAACGUUUAUUCUGCUCCGGUGAUUACUGUGGGAGCUAAAGCGGGGUAGGGAACAGGAAAGGUGAAUCACUACAGUGACUUUUGGAAUCUUUAAGUGGGUGACUCUACAGAAAAUUCAGCACAGACCGUUCCUCACAACACGAUUUGGUAGUUUUGUAUAUGUGCUGCUUUUUGUUACAUAGCCCGGACUCCUCUGGUAUUCUCCAUUCUACAGGUUCAGUCCACAUGUGCUGUUGACAAGUGUGUACCACACCUAGCUGUUAAGCUUCUUUGUCUUCAAGAUUUUGGAUUAUAUGUAUAUGUGAAUGUCUGCAUGACUUUAUGGGCACUAUGUACUCACAGGUGCCCUCAGAGGCAAGAAGGCAUUGGAUCUCAUGAAACUGGCUGGAGCUACAGGCAGUUGUGAGCCACCUAUUGUGGGUUCUGGGUACCAAACCCUCAUCCUCUUGACUGCUGACCCAUCUCACCUGCCCCCAUACACCUCUUAAUGAGACGAGUCGCUCACUGGCCUAGGGUUUGACCAGCACCAUUUGUUAAAGAUGCUUUCUUUUGUUCCACUGUGUAUUUUCUGGCUUCUUUGUCAAAAAUCAGGUGUCCAUGGGUGUGUGAACUUCAAUUCCAUUGAUCAACAUGUCUGUUUUUAAUGCCAAUACCUCACUGUUUUUCUAUUAGGAUAGCUCUGUAGCACAGUUUGACAUGGUGAUGAUGCUAUCACUAGCAAUUCUAUUAUUCAGGAGUGUUUUUUUUGGGGGGGGCGUGUUCUCUGUGGCUUUGGAAGCUGUCCUGGAACUAGUUCUUGUAGACUAGGCUGGUCUCGAACUCACAGAGAUCCCCCUGCCUCUGCCUCUGCCUCCUGAGUGCUGGUACUAAAGGCGUGUUCCACCAACGCCCAGCUAUUCAGGAGUGUUUUGACUAUCUUGGGUUUUUAUGUUUCUGUAUGAAGCUGAAAAUUGUACUUGAAAUUUCUGUGAAGAAUUUUGUGGAAUUUUUAUGGGGUUGUGUUUAAUCCGUAGAUGACUUUUGGUAGGAUGGCCAUUUUCAUUUCAUCAAUUCUACUGAUCCACAAGUAUGAGAGAUCUUUCCAUCUUCUGAUAUCUUCAUAUCUUCUUCAGUUUCUUUCUUCAGUGUCUUAAAAUGUUCAUUAUAUUAAUCUUUCACUUGCUUGGUUAAUCCCCCCACCCCUUGUGAGGCGAUUGUAAAGGUAUUGUUCCCUGAUUUCUUUCUUGGUCUGCUUGUCAUUAUUUAUAUGAAAACUACUGAUUGUUCUGCUAAUUUUGUAUCCUGCUACUUUUUGUUUUGUUUUGUUUUAGUUUUUUGAGACAGGGUUUCUCUGUGCAGCUGUGGCUAUUCUGGAACUCACUUUGCAGACCAGGCUGACCUGGAACUCAGAGAUCUACCUGCCUCUGCCUCCUGAGUGCUGGGAUCAAUGGCUUCUUUCACCACCACCUGGUGUGUUCUGCUAUUUUGUUGAAAGUGUUUAUCAGCUGUAGAAGUUUCCUGGUGGAGUUUUUAGGGUCCUUUAUGUAUGAAAUCAUUCAUCUGCAAAUAAAGAUCUUUGAGUUUUCCCCUUUC